GGCAAAAUUGUAGAAUCUGGAGUCUGUUUCAGGACUAUUCUUUGUCUCAUGAAUGGGCAUCCUUAUUCUUCAGAAAUCAGUAAAAAUGGAACCCAUGGACCCAUUCAUGUAAGAUUCUGAAAUGUAUUCUGUUGUAUUCACAAUGCAAAAGUCAACUUCAUUAUUAAAUUUAUUGUUUUUUUGUAUAGUAAAAAUCAAAUUGCUCUAUUGUUGAAAUGUGCUAGUCAUGGUUUGUUGCAUAUUUUACUAGUCUAUGUUUUGAUUAUAGCACUUUAUGACAUUGUUUAACAUGUUUAAGAAUUGAUAUAUGUCGGCAAAGUAUUAAUUGGGUGGAAAAACUGGGUCGCAAGUUUUCCCCGGCUGGGCAAUACUCUAUGAAAUGAGUAAUAACAGGCAAUAUGAUUACUAAGCUUACAGGUAUUUUAACACAAAAUGAUAAAGAAAUACUUUAGUUUCAUAGUAUUAUUGCUAAAUAUGUACAUUUUAUAAGGAUAAACUAUAUCCCACUGGGAUAUACUCAUAAAACUGGGGUUUUGACAACCUUAAUAUUUGUUCAUUACAGGGCUUCCAAAAUGGUCACAUUUGCUGGACAAAUAUAAAUCUAUAGGACAUUGUUCGUCUGAACCAAGCAUGAAUUGGACAUCCUACAUGGGUUUGCCAUUUCAACGUUCGUGUAAUUCAAAAAAAUCAACCAUUUUGACUUGACCUUGUGCCUUAAUCAGCCACACUUUUCCCAUCUUAUAAGUGACAGUACUCUAUAAACAAGCCCCUACUAUAAUCCCCUCUCAUUGCAUUCAAGGUUAAUUAAGUGUCAAACAGGUGAGAUUUACCAGCUGUGAUCACCUGUGUCAGGUUAAUUAUUUGUACAGGACAUCAAUUGAUUUUUUUGGAAGUUAUUUUUUUUUUUUAUUAAAAUUAAAAACAUUACUGGUUUAAAUCUAACUAAUUUUAACAAAAUUGAUUUAGACUAUCAGAAAAACUUAUUUAAACGAAAAGAUCAUUUAUUUACAAAGGUGGUAAAAAAGUUUAAGAGACAGAACCACAUCGAUUGAAAUAUUACAAAUGUGCACAUGUGUGAUAUUUAUUAUUUAAUAAUGCGUACAAAUUCAUCCAAAACGAUAAAAAUGUCAUUUAUAUACCAUUAUUUUAAGUUCAUCUCUAGUAUUUUCCCUAAGAAAUAACGUGGAAAGAACUGCUUAAACUCAACAAUGCUAGAUAAAAAUACAUGGAUUUUGCACAACUGUCUCUGUUCUGCAUUCUUAAACGUGUUUAUCAAAUAACUAAGCUGGUCCUCGACUGACUUAUAUGCUUAUACACAUUGUUAAGUCUGCGAAUAUAUGCCAAUUCUAACCAUACACUACUAUCAAUUUGAUUGUUAAUGUCAAACAUGGAAUUUAUAUUAAACUGAAAAAGUAUGAAGUCUAUGAAGUUUAUUGUCCUUUAAUAGCUUAAUGGCGUUAUCAUAUGGUUAUGUCCAUCUUUUGUUAUGGGGGAACCUGUCUAACGGGAUAAAAAAACGGGAUUGUUUUUGUUGUGGAUAUGUUUUGUAAUCUUUUGUUAUGGGGGAACCUGUCUAAAGGGAAAAAAUUGUUGGGCUGUCUCAAAUAUUUUUUGGAAGCCCUGGUUCAUUAUGGUGUUUAUUAAAGACGAAAAUUUCAUUAUAAUUAUUUUUAUGGUUAUUGAUAGAGGUACAGGUAAAUCUAUCUGUUGUUAAGACUCUUUGUUGACCUCUAGAUAUCUUUUGGUUAUUUGUGUUGUUUUCUUGUUGUUUUGCUGUCUCAUUGACUAAUACUCCGUUUAUUCGCAUUGUGUUUUGUUUGUAAUGUUUUAAAUUCAAAAAAUUGAAUGUUUUUAUUUGACAGGAUGAGUAAGUAUUGCACUAUAAUAUUAAUUUUCAGUUUAUGAUUGCUUAUAUAAUUAAUUUAUAGGCAGCAUUUUCUGAAAUCACAAAAAUUUAAAUAAAUUUUGUCCAUUGAUCAAGAAUCUCAAUAGUUGAUAUAUGAAACAAUUUCUGAAUUACAGUUUUUAUUUGUAGCCUUUUAUUAUAUAUAUAUUUAAAUUUAUUAUUUUGUAUUUAAGGAAAACUGUUUGGUUUGUUUAGCUAGAAAAAAAUUUACUAGAUUUCAUUAUUUUUUCUUUGUUAUAUUUUUAGCUCACCUGACCUGAAAGGUCAAGUGAGCUUUUCUCAUCACUUUGCGUCCGUCGUCCUGCGUCCGUCGUCCGUCGUCCGUAAACUUUUACAAAAAUCUUCUCCUCUGAAACUACUGGGCCAAAUUUGACCAAACUUGGCCACAAUCAUUAUUGGGGUAUCUAGUUUAAAAAAUGUGUCCGGUGACCCGGCCAACCAACCAAGAUGGCCGCCAUGGCUUAAAAUAGAACAUAGGGGUAAAAUGUAGAUUUUGGCUUAUAUCUCUGAAACCAAAGCAUUUAGAGCAAAUCUGAAAUGGGGUAAAAUUGUUUAUCAGGUCAAGAUCUAUCUGCCCUGAAAUUUUCAGAUGAAUCGGACAACCCGUUGUUGGGUUGCUGCCCCUGAAUUGGUAAUUUUAAGGAAAUUUUGCAGUUUUUAGCUCACCUGACCUGAAAGGUCAAGUGAGCUUUUCUCAUCACUUUGCGUCCGUCGUCCGUCGUCCUGCGUCCGUCGUCCGUCGUCCGUCGUCCGUAAACUUUUACAAAAAUCUUCUCCUCUGAAACUACUGGGCCAAAUUUAACCAAACUUGGCCACAAUCAUCAUUGGGGUAUCUAGUUUUAAAAAUGUGUGGCGUGACCCUGUCAACCAACCAAGAUGGCCGCCACGGCUAAAAAUAGAACAUAGGGGUAAAAUGCAGUUUUUAGCUUAUAACUCAAAAACCAAAGCAUUAAGAGCAAAUCUGACAUGGGGUAAAAUUGUUCAUCAGGUCAAGAUCUAUCUGCCCUGAAAUUUUCAGAUGAAUCGGACAACCCGUUAUUGGGUUGCUGCCCCUGAAUUGGUAAUUUUAAGGAAAUUUUGCUGUUUUUGGUUAUUAUCUUGAAUAUUAUUAUAGAUAGAGAUAAACUGUAAACAGCAAUAAUGUUCAGCAAAGUAAGAUUUACAAAUAAGUCAAUAUAACCGAAAUGGUUAGUUGACCCCUUUAGGAGAAAUUGCCCUUUAUAGUCAAUUUUUAACCAUUUUUCGUAAAUCUUAGUAAUCUUUUACAAAAAUCUUCUCCUCUGAAACAACUGGGCCAAAUUAAACCAAACUUGGCCACAAUCAUCAUUGGGGUAUCUAGUUUAAAAAAUGUGUGGCGUGACCCGGCCAACCAACCAAGAUGGCCGCCACAGCUAAAAAUAGAACAUAGGGGUAAAAUGCAGUUUUUGGCUUAUAACUCAAAAACCAAAGCAUUUAGAGCAAAUCUGACAUGAAGUAAAAUUGUUUAUCAGGUCAAGAUCUAUCUGCCCUGAAAUUUUCAGAUGAAUCGGACAACCCGUUAUUGGGUUGCUGCCCCUGAAUUGGUAAUUUUAAGGAAAUUUUGCUGUUUUUGGUUAUUAUCUUGAAUAUUAUUAUAGAUAGAGAUAAACUGUAAACAGCAAUAAUGUUCAGCAAAGUAAGAUUUACAAAUAAGUCAAUAUAACCGAAAUGGUCAGUUGACCCCUUUAGGAGUAAUUGCCCUUUAUAGUCAAUUUUUAACCAUUUUUCGUAAAUCUUAGUAAUCUUUUACAAAAAUCUUCUCCUCUGAAACAACUGGGCCAAAUUAAACCAAACUUGGCCACAAUCAUCAUUUGGUUAUUUAGUUUUAAAAAUGUGUGGCGUGACCUGGUCAACCAACCAAGAUGGCCGCCACGGCUAAAAAUAGAACAUAGGGGUAAAAUUCAGUUUUUGGCUUUUAACUCAAAAACCAAAGCAUUUAAAGCAAAUCUGACAUGAAGUAAAAUUGUUUAUCAGGUCAAGAUCUAUCUGCCCUGAAAUUUUCAGAUGAAUCGGACAACCCGUUGUUGGGUUGCUGCCCCUGAAUUGGUAAUUUUAAGGUAAUUUUGCUGUUUUUGGUUAUUAUCUUGAAUAUUAUUAUAGAUAGAGAUAAACUGUAAAAAACGAUAAAUGUCGGCAAAGUAAGAUCAACAAAUAAGUCAACAUGACCGAAAUUGUCAGUUGACCCCUUUAGGAGUUAUUGCCCUUUAUAGUCAAUUUUAACCAUUUUUUCGUAAAUCUUAGUAAUCUUUUACAAAAAUCUUCUCCUCUGAAACUACUGGGCCAAGUUAAUUAUAGAUAGAGAUAAUUGUAAGCAGGAAAAAUGUUCAGUAAAUUAAGAUGUACAAACACAUCACCAUCACCAAAACACAAUUUUGUCAUGAAUCCAUCUGCGUCCUUUGUUUAAUAUUCACAUAGACCAAGGUGAGCGACACAGGCUCUUUAGAGCCUCUAGUUGGUUAUUAUCUUGAAUAUUAUUAUAGAUAGAGGUAAACUGUAAACAGCAAUAAUGUUCAGCAAAGUAAGAUCUACAAAUAAGUCAACUUGACCAAAAUGGUCAGUUGACCCCUUAAGGAGUUAUUGCCCUUUAUAGUCAAUUUUUAACCAUUUUUCGUAAAUUUUUGUAAUCUUUUACAAAAAUCUUCUCCUCUGAAACUACUAAGACAAAUUUAACCAAACUUGUCCAAAAUCAUCAUUACGGUAUCUAGUUUAAAAAAUGUGUCCAAUGACCCAGCCCGCGAACCAAGAUGGCCGACAUGGCUAAAAAAUAGUACAUAGGGUAAAAUGCAGUUUUUGGCUCAUAUCUCUGAAACCAAAGCAUUUAGAGCAAAUCUGAUGGUAUACAAUUGUUCAUUAGGUCAAGAUUUAUCUGCCCUGAAAUUUUCAGACCAAUCAGGCAACCUGUUGUUGGGUUGCUGCCCCUGAAUUGGUAAUUUUAAGGAAAUUUUGCCGUUUUUGGUUAUUAUCUUGAAUAUUAUUAUAGAUAGAGAUAAACUGUAAACAGCAAUAAUGUUCAGCAAAGUAAGAUCUACAAAUAAGGCAACAUGACCAAAAUUGUCAAUUGACCCCUUAAGGAGUUAUUGCCCUUUAUAGUCAAUUUUUUACAAUUUUCAUAAAUUUUGUAAAUUUUUGUAAAUUUUUAAAAGUAUUUUCCACUGUAA